rnacentral:rRNA from 1 species
CAAUAGCGUAUAUUAAAGUUGUUGCGGUUAAAAGCUCGUAGUUGGAUUUCUGCCGAGGACGACCGGUCCGCCCUGUGGGUGAGCAUCUGGAUCGGCCUGGGCAUCUUCUUGGGGAACGUAGCUGCACUUGACUGUGUGGUGCGGUAUCCAGGACUUUUACCUUUGAGGAAAUUAGAGUGUUUCAAGCAGGCGCACGCCUUGAAUACAUUAGCAUGGAAUAAUAAGAUAGGACCUCGGUUCUAUUUUGUUGGUUUCUAGAGUCUGAGGUAAUGAGUUAAUAGGGAUAGGUUGGGGGCACGUCGUAUUAACGCGUCAGAGGUGGAAUUCUUAGAUUUGCGUUACGACGAACUACUGCGAAAAGCUUUUGC